GCAAUACUCCUUGCUCUUCCCGCCGGUUUUGCCCUUUUUGUUAGAAGGGAAAUGUUUCACUGUAAGUAAAACAACUCGCUCAACAGCAAGGUUAUCUUGAUAUGAAUUAGUAUGGGAUGAUGAGAUAGGCUCGGUCCGUAUUUUGUUGGUUUUAGUGGUCUGAGAAUGAUGAAGAGGGACAAUUGGGGGUAUUCGUAUUUACAUGUCAGAGGUGGAAUUCUUGGAUUUUGGAAAGACGAACUAAUGCGAAAGCAUCUACCAAAGAUGUUUUCAUUGAUCAAGAACGAAAGUUUGGGGAUCGAAGAUGAUUAGAUACCAUCGUAGUCUAAACCAUAAACUAUGCCGACUUGCGAUUGUUUUGUGUCAUUUAAUGAGCAGAGCAGCAGCACAUGAGAAAUCAAAGUCUUUGGGUUCCGGGGGGAGUAUGGUCGCAAGGCUGAAACUUAAAGGAAUGACGGAAAGGCACCCCCCCGAGUGGAGCCUGCGGGUUAAUUUGAGUCAACACGGGAAAAAUUUCCCCGUCCCGACAUAGGAAAGGGUGACAGAGUGAGAGAUCUUUUUUGAUUUUAUGGGGGGGGGGGCACGGCCCUUUUUAGUUGGGGGAGCGAUUUUUUUGGUUAAAUCCGUUAAAGAAAGAGACCCCACCCUAUUAAAUAUUGGGGUGUAUGGGGACAUAGGGGAUUGUUUUUUAGAGGGGCACUUUGGUUUUACCGGAAAGAAAUUUGUGGCAAUAACACGUGUGUGAUGCCCCUAGAUGUUUUGGGGCGCACGCGCGCUACACUGAUGAUUUUAAAGAGUUGUUUAUUAUUGUGUUUUUGGCAAUAUUUCCUUGUCCGUUAGGUCUGGGUAAUCUUUUGAAUGGUCAUCGUGAUGGGGCUAGAUUUUUGCNAAUUUUUAAUCUCCAACG
rnacentral:rRNA from 1 species